UAUUAACUGGCGUAGGCAUCAACCUUACAAACCCAGUCAGGUUUGAAAAAAAGCAGCUGUAGUAAGUCCUUGGUGGGUUACGCUAGUAGUUUUAUCUU
rfam:Orientia tsutsugamushi str. Gilliam got.contig.1_1, whole genome shotgun sequence.